GGGGAUGUAGCUCAGCAGUACAGUGUCUGCCUGGCAAGCACAAUGUCCUAAGUUUGAUCCCUGGUACUUCCC
rnacentral:tRNA from 1 species